rnacentral:rRNA from 1 species
UACGUAGGUGGCAAGCGUUGUCCGGAUUUACUGGGCGUAAAGAGCGCGCAGGCGGUCGUCCAAGUCGCGUGUGAAAGCCCCCGGCUCAACUGGGGAGGGUCACGCGAUACUGAUCGACUCGAAGGCAGGAGAGGGUAGUGGAAUUCCCGGUGUAGGUGGUGAAAUGCGUAGAUAUCGGGAAGGAACACCAGUGGCGAAGGC